CAAAAUUUUGUUUUGGAAAACACAAAACCGUUCUAAAAAAUAGUUUUUAAAAACUGUUUUAAAAAACACUUCCCAAACAUGCCUAUGGUUACUCACCAAAAUUCAUGCCCACCUUUUUAACUAAUCUAAAGCCAAAAUUCUCCCCCAAACUACAUUCCACCAAAGAAUCCUACUUUUGUUGACAUCUAAGGGUUCCAUGCUACAUUUACUAGAAAUUUCUUUCUCUCUUUGGCUUUAAGAAAGGGUAGAAGGCUUUGACUACAAACAGUCUGCCUUUUCAUUCCCUCUGUACCAGUUUGUCUUCCAUACCCCUCUUCACUGAAUACUUUUUCAGUUUUUCCAUAAAGGCCUCAACAUUUUCUAGCUCCCCAUUGAACUAUCUUGAGAAACGGUGACUCCAAUGGCCUCCCUCCCCUAACUCCUCCCAUAUUUGCGGAACUCACACACCCUUUGAGGUGGUUAUGGGGAACAAUGAAGGGAAAAAGAUGCUCAAUGUUGUGACACCUCUCAACCAAGUGUCCUUCUCAAAGGUGUCCAUUGAGAAUUUUACUCUCCUUCCAUUUCCCACCUCAAAACAAGUUCUACUUUUAAAAUCCCCCCGCCCUCUUUGUAUUGUCUUCCAUACCCUAAACCCAUGCCAUCCCUUACCUCAUAAGUACCACCCCACUCUACUUUCCCAUGCUUCCCAUCAAUGACCCGCUUCCAUAGGGGCUCCUUCUCUAAAGCAUACCUCCAUUUGGUUUCCUUCAAAUGUGUGGUAGAUAUGUUGACCAUCUCAUUUGAGAACUUUGACAAUUAUCUUAGAGGUAGGGUCCUUUGGUGAGUGCCUAUCAUACCUUUCAUAUUUUCUUAUUCAUCAAAAGGUAAAAAUGUGAAGUGUAUGCAAGAAGACAUAAAAGCAAUUGGGGAGAAUACAACAAUUUGAUUCUGAUCAAAAAAAAAAAAAAGAGAAUACAACAAUUUGACCACUUUUCAAGGUAGUUAAAAGAAUUUAUAUAUUACCGCUUCCCAAAUGGAUAGAUUCUAUUGUCUUAGAAUUUGGGGCCCUUAUCAUCCCCAAAACAGAAAUGCCUUUAUCACCAGAACUACAGUGAGGAGCUGUGUGAACCACCAGGAUAGAGAGAGCACAUCAAAAUACACCGAUGUAGCAUGUGGGUUACUGGAAAGCUACACCAAUGUAGCAUGUGAGUUACUGGAAAACUAUAUUUGAUUAACAUCAAUUCAUGGAUAUUUUAAAUUUAAGUAAUUAGAAAAAACCAACAGGCCCUCAAUGACAAAAAUUUGGAUCAUGUAAAAGUUGCUCCAACUGAGUAGAAUGCCUAAACCACACACUAAUAAUAGCAUAGUGAAGUGCUCCUGUCAAUCAAGAGAGAGAUGAACAAGAAGAAGAAGAACCGCCAUGUUCCACUAUAGCAAUCUAUCUAACGCAACACCAACCAUUUAAAACCAAAUUUUGAAUCUUUUUCAGAGUGAAUAAGCUCAAUGACAAAAACACAGCAUACAAGUAAGAAAAAUAAUUAUGCAGUCAUCUAUAAAAUAGGCAAUCAGCAUUCAAACAAUGAGCACAAAAAAUUAAAUGGAAACAUUAAGCAUGAAUCUUAUAAACCAUCUGACCUCGUUAUAAGUGGUCCUUCCCUUGCUUUCCACUUUCUCACAAACUAGACACAAAAAAAACAGCACAAACAUCAAAUUAGUAUUUGCUGCACCAAGGCUCAUCUCAGCAAAGGUGAGUCAUACUCUAUCAACAUCAGAGAACUAAUUUUAGUAUGAAAUAUAUAGGUAUCAAGCCUCACAAGAACAUGAGAAUUGGAGAUGGGUGUGAAACAAACACCUUUCAUACUGAAUUGACGAAGUCCCCUACCACUCUUAUCCCCCCCAACUGCCCGUUGACCUCUUUUCUUCUUCCUGUUACUGUUGAGAACUUAUGGUCACUUAAAUUGAUAAAGAGCAACAAGCAGAAACGCAUAACCAUUAGCAUAACAUUAAGCAAUUUAAGCUCAACCACUCAGAACAAAAUUGUAAGACUAAAUAUGGCCAAAAGGACUAAUAUUAAGAAUUCCAUAUCUAAGACUUCUAGGGCAGUAUCAACUAUCAGUAGCAUGCCUAAUUGAAGUGCAAAGGAUAUAAUAUAAAACCCCAUUAUCACAAUACUCACAAUCAUAAUCAAAACCGACUCAAUAAAAACAUAAAUUUUUCACGUUUUGCAGAAGCAAUAUCAUCGUUUUUGGACCCCACAACUUCAAGAAACAAACUAAUACUAAAUAAACCACCAAUUUCAGCAGUUUCUACAAUUAUGAGAAAAAAACACAAUUCAAGGGGUUUUACCAAACUAGGCAAAGCCCUCAAAACUGAAAACUCCCACCCACGAACAAUUCAGCUUUACAUGAAUUAAAGAAAAGAUACUAAAUGGUGAAGAGAAUAAAAGACUCACGCGGCCCCUUGAGAUCCGGCAUCAUCACCGUGAAUGUCAAGAUGGUUUAAUCUAAGAAAAGUGUUUUCGCUCGCCGGUGUUGCCAAUGCGGCCUCGCUCCGGCUCGACGGCGACCCCACGCUUCCACUUGUAGACACUGACUGGCCCGAAACCGUGGUGCCCCAGGACCUCGUAGCUCCUCCCUUAGAAACGGUUGCUGGGUUCUUCUCCCCAUCUUCUUGAUGACUCCCUCCAGUCACCAUUUCUUCUAUAACCCCAAAAUUGAACCCCAAACAAGAUAUGUAUGAAGAAAAAACCCAACAAAAAUAACAGAAAAUUUCAGGGUUAGAAGAAGACCCUAAUGAGAACUUACCUUAUAGGAUCUGGGUCUUAAACAACUGAAAGGGACUGCGCAUGUACAGAGGUUGAUGAGCAUCAGUGACAAGUCUCCUCUCUCUACUCAGUGCACCAACAAAGACUGCGCUGGUGAAGCAGGCGAGGUGCGUCUCUAUUGUGCACCGUGGGUUGAAGGUGACGUGUUGAUCUAACAAGAGGGGGCGGUCGAGGAAUGGGUGAAACCACGGGUCCACCGCAUUCGGAAGAGGAACUCAGGGUUAGGCAACUGUACUGCUUUUGGGGAAAAACGAACUGCAAUUGAACAGGUGGGAGAAAUCGAGACGACGUCGUCUGGAUGGGUCUCCGAAUGCUGGAACAAAUACUAAAACAGGCGGGUUUCCGAAUGAAACGGCGUCGUUUUUCAGGAAGAUGGGACCCUUUCAUUUCAAUCCUGAGACAUGGAAGCCAAAUCAUGCGGUUUGGUGGCAUGCAAAGGCAGCAAAGCCAGACCACUACUCGGGUCGGAUGUAAAUCUGGCCCGCAGUCACUAGACCAGAUAUCUCAACCCAUGAGCCAGUCCUGAUUCAGAAAAUCGGACUUGGCCCAACCCAACUUACAACCCAAGACAAUGACCCAUAAAGCAUGUCAAACCCAAUUCAUAUCUACCUCGUAGACAAGUUAGGUUCUUGCAUUCCUAUAAAAUAUAAAUAUAUUAUAAAAUAAAAUAUUAAAAAUUAAAUAAACUCAUUAAUCUAAUAUAAUUAAAAAUAAAGAAAUGUUAAGAGUUUUUCUUAUAGCUUUUAUGUUUUCUACAUUGGAAAAUAUAUAUUUUGGUAUCAUGGUUUGAAAAUAAAUAGUAAAUAACAAUCUAUUUCAUAAAAUUAAAUUUAUUUCUAUAAAUUUGAAAAUAUUUAAAAAUUUAUUCAUUGUGAUAUUAAUUUGAAAUAUGUUUCUCAAAAUAUAUUUUUUAGUUGGACGAAGGCAAGUGUCCAAUAGAUUCUGCAUGGACUCUCUCUUUCUAUUCUUCCAACAUAAAAAAAAAAGUGUACUAAAGAGUGUCUCUUAUAUAAGUCCAAAUAUGAGAUAUAAAGGGAAGAAAAAUGAGUAGACAAGGGAGUUUGUUUUGUGUCUUUAGAAAAUCCUUAGUUUGCAAGUCAUCUCUAAAUGUAGAGGCGAUCUUAGAUGGUGUUUGUUUUUUUGGCUUUUUGCUUAAAACCAUUUAGUUUUAGAAUUUAGGUUGUUUGUUUUUUUGCUUUUUUAUUACUUAUUAUAAACUUUUUACUAAAUAGAAAAAGCCAAAAUAUGUGGCUUUUUCUAAAUAGAAAAAAUAACACAAUGAUUUUUUUUACUUUUUAAUACUUAAUAGAAAUAAAAUACUACAAAAAACAAACAACCUAAUAUUUAAUACUAUUAAGUAUUAAGGUUCUAUUUAGAAUUAAGUAAAAAAACAAACACCACCUUACCGCAUGUCUUAAUUUCAUUUGUAGGUUGAUAACAAAAGGAAUCUUACUAAUAAUAAAUUUCUCUCAUAUUCAUUAUAAUAUGAACCCUCAUACUCUAAUGAAUAUGGAUUAUCAUGUUACUCAUAGGAUGAGACUCAUGUUGUUAUUUAAAUGAGUGCAAAUUUGUCCACUUUAUUUGCCCCAUUUUCCUGCUUAAAGGUGAUUUGUCCAAAGGGCUUUCAAGCAAAAAACCACUAGGUUGUGUUGCCUUUUUUUACACUUGGUAGAAGUCUCUAGGUUUUUCAAAUAGUAAAUGGCAGCGAAAUGAUUUCUUGUAACCUUUUUAUCUUUUUCACUUUUUACUUUUUCAUUUCUUGCACUUCAGAACUUUGGUUGGUUACUCUUUUGUGUUCAUUGCUUCUUCUUUGUUUCCUAUUAUUGCAUGGUGAGAAGCUUUGGAUUUUUUAUUUAAAGGUUCUAAGUUUUACUUGUCUUUCACAAGUUUGCAAGAGUCCACUACCUAUCCUAGUUUUUGGUAAGUCUUGUAUAUUUGGUUUUUUUCUUUUUCUCUUUUUUUUUCCUGGUUAUUCUUGGUAUUUGUUUGAUGAUUUUGCUUUAUUUGAUAAACUGCCUAGGAGAUGCCCCUUGGUCUUAAGUAGAUUGGUUGUUAAAAUAUUUUUUAGUUUUUCCUUUAUUUUCCUAUUUUUCAUGUCUUUAAGGUAUUGAUGAUAAGUGGGUCCAUAUUUAUGAAAAAGUCACUUUUGUUAGUUUGGGAAAUUUGAGAUGACUAGUUUUUCUUAAUCACAAAAUUAGUAUGUUUUUUUAUAAGUUCAUCAUUUAUUUAAGAUGUCUUGAUCAAGUAUAGACCAUUCGUUUGUCUUUACCUCACCCAUGAAGGAGGUUUUGAAUUAUUUCUUUUCAAAACCUGGUAUAUCUAUUUGGAUUUUUUUUAUAGAUCUUGUUUAUUUUCUAGCAUAUAUUUAAGCAUGAGUACUUUUUUCUACAUCAAGGCCUUGUAAAUAGGGUAAAUGAGUCGAGUGGCUAUCAAUGGUGAGAUAUAAUAAAGAUGAUAAACAUUAUCGUUUACUACUUACUGUUACUCACUUGAAGUCUAUUUUGGAGCACUCGAUGUCUUUCCAUGUACAACAAAUUCCUUGUAUACAACCUUCUUCAUGAGGAUGCAAGUUCCUUAUAGCAUAGUUAGUAUAUCCAUUUCUAAGAAAGUAAGUAGGUGGAACAAGUUGAUAGAACUGCUUGAGUUGACUAGAACUCAAUAAAUGAGAUGUUUGCCUAUGGUUAAGGUUAGGACAAGUACGUCUUCUUAUGGGACUGAUGGUUGCCUGAGUUUAAAGGGAUCGAAGAUGAGUGGUCCAUCUAUAGGUUGUGCAUUAUUUUCAAUAAAAGUGUACUAAACAUUAACAAUUAGGGUUUGCAGGGCUAUUUCUCAAAUACAUCAUUUUAUUUAAGAUUUCAAUCCUCGCAUCAAAUCAACCAAUCCACCAUGUAUAUCAUUGAUUACAAUUCAAGAUUUUGGUGCAACAACAUUGAUGUCAUUUACACUUUGCUCCCCCUAAUGUGGCUUGUGUUCCUUUACAUAUUGUUUCAACUUUUCGGUUUGCAUCAUUCUUUUGACUAGGUGUUACAGGGUCUAGCAAUCAUCAGUGGCAUGGUUGUUAUCUCGGUGGUAUUCACAAAAAAUGUGAUCAAUCAUGUUGUCAAGGAUCCCCUCUCAUAAGAUGAAGUUAGGCAAAUCUUGCAAAUCCUUAGUUGAUUGGGAGGAGACGAGAAUAAGAUAUAGUUGAUUGGGAGAGGGGUGUGGGGACACCCUAUGUUGGAUCCUCUCUCAUACCCAAGCCAUUUCCUUGGGUUUUGUAGGGAAAAAUUUAUAGUACCACCUCAAUGACUAGUAUAGUCCUUUGUGUGUCAUUGACCAUCAUCAUGAGCUAGGGUCAUCAUGUGUUGGGUUGUUGCAUGAAGAUCAUCUUUCUAACAUGGAGUAUCCAUUGGUCAUUUGAAAGAGUUUUGUCUAUAAACCCUAAGGGUUUAAGGAAAUGGGAAUAAAAACCAAGGUAUUUAAGAAUAUGGCUUCUUUAAUGGCUUGCAUGACCAUGUCCAUGCUAACCUUGUCGAGUUACAAUACUGUUCCUCCAAUUUUUUCAUAAAAUCCCAAAUUGAUUCACUUCAAUCUAGUUUUAGGUGAAAUAAAUUGGCUACACUUUGCUUCGUUCUCUGAUAACAUAAAUAAUGGAUAGUGAAAAUCUCAAAUAACUCUAUAAAUGAGUUGAUUGAAUUCGCUAAUAAUUGAUAGAACUAAGAGAGUGGUAAUUUCUAUAAACUAGAUGGAAAAACUUAGCAUAAUAAAGCAUCAUUAUUACUUUCAAGAGUCAUUACAUAUUAAAAGUGUAUCAGGUGGUCAUAGGGAUCUUCGGUUCCAUCAUACAUUUUGAAUUUAAGCAUUGAAAAUUAUCGUGGAGUUUCUUUCCUUAGAAUAUGAUGCAUGAACGAUGUUGCUACCACGUCAUCCAAGAUGUAGAAGGUUGUGUUAUGUGCCUAUUCCAUUCGAGUCGUUGGUUGAACAUGACUAUACUUUAGGGUAUGGGUGAGAGUUCAUAUAACAUUAUCCUCCACUUGUUCGGUACUUGAAUGCAAGCUAGCUUUGCUCUUAGUGGGAAUGGAAGAGUUGUGUUUAGCUCCACUUUUUGGAAUAAGGAUAGGGUUUGGAAUUUAGAUUGGUUUGAUAGCAAGCAUGACAAGUUGAAAAGAAGGUUAUUGAUUUCCUAACUAGAGAGAGAUUGGUGUGUAUAAAGGAGUAUGAGUUGUUGUAGUAGCUUUUAGCAUUUCAUUAUUCUAUCGUAAGGCUUUAGUUGUGGGAAAGAGACUUUCCACCUACUUGCAGUGCUCUUGUUGUUGUUGUUGGUUUUUUUUAAUUGUCUUUCCAAUAUUGCAAAUUGUCCCUCAUUGUCAUUUGUACAUUUUUCGAUAUAUCUCUUGACGUUAUUGUGUGAAUUAGGCUUCUUAAUUCUCACAUACAACGCCAAGUGGUGUCUCUAAAAAAUCCCUAGUCUGGAGGUCAUCUUUAUAUAUAGAGAUGAUCUUAUCAUGUGUCUUAAUUUCAUUGGCAAGCUAAUAACAAAAAGGAUCUUACUAAUGCCUAUAUUCUAACGAAUACAAAUUCCAUGUUCUUGUGUUGCCCCUUUUUUGAAUGAGUCCACUUCAAAGUUGAGAACAAAAAAUUUUCUAUUUUCUCAUUCUUAUUUGACAAAAAAAAUAACAUUAUUUUUUAAUAUUUACAAUUCCAUUAAUUAAUAACAUGUUGAAUUUUAGUAUACCAAUAAAUAUUGUUUCAUAUAAAUUGAAAAAAUAUAUAAUACUUUGAAUUUUAUACAAAAAGACUUAUAUUAAUAAUUUUAAAAAUAAGAAAUUUAUUUAUUUUUCUAUUUUUUAUAAUGAAAAGCUUUUAAAUUUAAUAAAUAAAAAGAUUAAAUUUCAAAAUAAAGGAUAAUUUUUUUUUUAUUUUAAAGAUUAUUUAAAUAGAUAAUAUUUAUAUUGAUUAAUCACCACUUUGAUUGUUAUAUAUAUAUAUAUAAUAUUUCAUCCAAGUAAAGAAAUAAAAUGAAAUAGGAAAGAAAAUAAUUAAGCUUGAGAAAAAUAAAGGGCCUGUUUGGUUGCUAUUUUUGAAAACUGUUCUGGAAAACAGUUUUUGAUAACAGUUUUUAAGAACAGUUUUUGGUGUUUUAAAAAAAAAAAAUUAUGUUUGGGAACUGAAUUUUGAAAAACAGUUUUUGUUCUCAAAAACAAAAAAAACAUGUUUGGUUGAGUUAAUAAAAAAAAAAAUAGAACAAAUAAAACAAAAAACACGUUUGAAAGAUGUUUUUCUUUUCUUUUCUAAUUAAUAAAAUAUUUUCUUCAAGUAAUUUUAUAUUAUAAAUUUAUAAAUAAUUUUUAGAUAUAUAGUUUAUUUAAAUUAAAAAAAUUAUUUAUUUUAUUAAUUUAAAAAUAAAAAUAUAUUUUAUAUAUUUUUAAAAAUAAAUCAAACAUAAUAAAAUCAUUUUUAUUAAUAUUUUUUUAUUUAAUUUUUAACUUUAUUAAAAAUUAUAGCAUAUUCUAUUAAGUUGAGAUAAAAUUGUUCUCGUGAUUUGUUAAUUUUUUUUUAUCUCUACUAAAUCUAAAAUUCAAAAUGUCACCCACUUCUCUCACUCGGGCAUCAAGAACUGACAAGAAACCCUUUUCUGAAGUUGCCCUCCAGCCCGAGAGAAUCCCUAAAAGGCCCUAUUUUCCUCUGCCACUCUCAAUCCUCGCAGGUACUAAUCUAAUCAUGUUAUUAUUAUUAUUAUUAUUAUUAUUAUUUUUGCAACCCUGGUUUGAUUCCCAAGAAAAUCCAUCCCCCAUUCGAUUUCCGGGAAAAUUCAUCCUCGUUUGAUUUCCGAGAAAACCCAAGCAAAAACCCCAAGGAAAACAAAAAAAAUGGAUUUUCUUUUGCUCCCUGUGUUUUUUGGAUCCGUUUUAGGGGUCUCUUUGCUAUUGUGCCAUUGGAUUUAAAUUUUAUGAACCUUGAAUCAAAACUGAGAAACGGGAAAAAUCAAGAAGAGGCGACGUGACUGUGCUGGAGAAGAGAUGAGAACGGGAAGGAAAAAAAAACACGAAGAACAGAUGGUUUUUUUGUUAUUUAAUUUUUGUUCUGUAAAUAGUAAAAAAACGGGGAAAACAACAUUUUGUUGUUCUCUAAACAGUGCCAUUUUGAGAACAUGGGGAACAACAAAAACAAAAAUGACUCUCUCAACCAAACGAGUUUUUGGUGUUUUUUGUUUUCAAGAACAGAAAACAGUUUUUGAAAACACUAAACAAACAGGCCCAAACUCUUUUGUUUUUCAUUAGCAUAGAACAUAAAUAAUUUAGAAACAUUUUGUUUUUCUAAUAAAAUUUAUUAUAUUUCUGUUUCUUUAUGCCGCUUUUAUUACAAAUCAAGUACAAGAUGUAAAGAGUUUUCAUUUUCUUUCUCAUAUAUAAACUGUUCAGUAAUAAAGGUUGUUUCUACCGUAAAAGUGUCAACCUGAACAAGAAUGACCCGUGACUGAGUGAGAGGCAAUACUUUGAAAAUCGGACCGGUGGACUUUCCAGUCAGGUUCCCCUAUUAAAGGGUUCACCUAUUGAACCAGUCUUGAGGCGGACAAUUCUGUGAGAACCGAGUGGUUCAACACCUCCAUAGUUUUUGGCAAAAUGGAUCAGACUUCUUCAUGGCCAACGUUCAAUGCCCCCUUUUACAAGAGGGCCCAUGACUCGAACACUGAACCUCAUAGCGCAGUAGGCCGUUUGCUUUGUAAUGAAUAGAAGAGACUUAUAAAGCUCUUCACAUCUUCCAAUUCCGAUGUGGGAUCAAUGUAGGCUUGAACAAUCAGUUGCUUUGUAAUUAUUCAUUUUUAAUUAUAUAUGUUCUUUAAAUUUUAGUAAUAAUCCCAAUUCGAUUAUCGAUCCAAUCCGACCAUUAAACUGUGAACUAAUAAUUUUUCCAAUCCAAUUUUAAAAGUAUUAUUGAGAGAAUAGACAAGUAAAAAUUAUAAAGGAGAUGUUUGAUUAAAUUUCAAAUGUAAGAAGAUGAAGUGUCCGAAAUUAACCUAUAAAGAAAAUGGUUAACAUAUUUGUCCAUAAUAAAUUAUAUUAAAUGGUUUUAAAAUAUAAAUGCUCUUUCAAAUAUAUUUGUAUUACCCCUUUUAAUUAAAUAACCGUAAAAUCCAAAUUUUGCUUAUAUAGACUUCAAAAAAAAAAAAAAAGAGGAAACGGUUUUCAAAAAAAGUCUUUAAAACUAUGCAACAGACAUGUUUUCUUAAUCAUUUAAACUUUCUUUAAUUUUUUUUUUUAAAGGAUCAUUCAUAAUGUUACUACCAAAUCAUGCAUCAUUGAAUAAAAGCCAAGGAAGAGAGAGAAAACACAGAAUAUUAUGCAUUGAAAUUCUCUCACCCAUAUGAUGUAUCAUAAAUCCAAUUUUGCCGCGAUUUAUGCAUGAGGACUGACGGCUAUAUUGUUGCCUGCCCGAAAGUAAAUUUAUGGAUGACACGGAUUUAAUAGCGUUUUUUUAACUAUUCUCAGCGCUACUUGCCUCCCAACACGCAAAAUGGCCUCCGAAUGGAAAUUGACAAAAACAAGGGUACCGGGACCUUGGGAGCAUAUUAUAUGAUAGGAACGGAAAGACGGCCAACUUGUAGUUAAAAUCAGAACAAGUCAUAUUGAUUUUUUAAUUCACCGUUCCAGCUGUAUACCAGACCGUAUGCCCAUCAACAUUCUUAUCAUCAAGAGGUGACUUGUUAAAGCUGGUACGCCCAUGUGGCACAUUUACAGUAACCAGACUGACACGUGGAAAUUUUGUAAUGCAUGCACGUGUCAAUAGUCAGAGGUCCAUUUCAGGAUUAUAACAGCUCAUCACUUGGGUUCCCUGUCUUCUAGCCACUUCAUUACCAAAUGUUCUCAUAGAACACCAUCUGCUAGGAACAAAUAGAGACCUGAGCCUGAGCCCUGAGCCCUGUUUGUUAACUAUUGUCAAUAACAAGUUUCUGUUUUUUAUAACAACAAAACAAGAAAGGAUGUUUCACAAUCAAAGAAGUAUUUAAAAAAAAUAUUUUUUAGUUAUUUUUGCCAUUAUUUCAAAAAAGAAUCACAUAAAUAUAAAAAAUAAUUAAAAAUAAAACACUACAAAUAAAAUUUAUUUUUUAAACAAACAUUUAAAAACAUAAAAAAAAAAAAUGGUAAGAACAUUUCAAGUUUCAAAAAGAACUUUUAUUCUAUAAAAUAUUAAAAACUAAGAAGAUUUCAAGUUUUGAAAUAGAAUUUUUAUUCUACAAAAAUCCAAAAACAAUUUUAAAAAAUAAUUCUCAAAAAACUAUUUUCACAAUUGUUUUCAAAAACAUUUUCCAACAGCCCAAGUGGUCUCCCUUUAUUGUCUCUACAAGCAACAAUUCAGGUCAAAUCUAACAAUAAAAAAGUCAUACCAAGUAUCAAACAACACUUUGCCUGCUAGCAUCAAACCAAAGACAUAUGGUAUCUUCAUUUAAUAACAACACGAGCAAAAAUCCAUAUCAAACUCAACAACAAAAUUGGUACACAGUAUAAUACAAACUCUGCCUGCCAGCAUCAAACUAAAGACAUUCAAUGAUAUCCUGUUUAUCGACAAUGCAAGAAACAUUCCACAUUCAAUAAUGAAAAUGCUACAGCCUAUCAUGCAACAUUGUUCCUGUUAGCAUUAUUAUGGAAAAAAUGUAACGAUUUCCAUUAAAUAAGGGUGAAAGCAACAAUCAAGAUCUACUCAGCAGCAAAAAUGCUUCCAAGAAUCAUUCAAUAGCAUGUAUUGCAUGCAUCAAACUACAAAAUACGGCAAUGUCACCUUAAUGCAAUCAUCAGUAGAGAUCAAACUGUAACAAUAUUUCUUUCUAACUACCCAUGCACUUGAGAUUACAGAAAAUUGUGAUUAUUAACAUUGUAAAACAAACAAUAAUGGAACAAGUCAUUAGCUUACUAUAUCACAUCAUCUAGACUAGGAAAAAGUGAAUCAUGUCAUGAUGUGGUUCAAAUGAACUUAAGCAAAUAUCUUCAACAAACAUUCCUAUUAUCUACAUAUCAAGCCAUUCUAGUCUAUGAAAAGAUUCUCUGAAAAGUCACUUAUGAUAAAUAAAAAACUUACCUAAGAAAUUUUAUUUUCAUUUAAUAGGAUUGUAUUUUAAAUUACUAACGUUGAUGGAUCCGUCAUAUUGACCAAAAAUAUGCUGAUAAUUGAGCCCAUUGUGAUUCAGAAUUGCAAAUGCUUUAAAAAUAAUAUUAGCACUACAAGAGAGCGACAGUGAUAAUGACAUUCAAUUUUGGAUUCAUGUAAAAGAUAUUCCCUAGAUACAAGUAAACUAACUCAAAAAGGUAAACCUUACAGUUAUGUUUAACCACUUUUUGUUCCAGCAAUACAACGUAGAAUACUCCAACUUAUCUCAUUUACAAUUUUGAUUUUCAUUUAGCAUUUUUCUUUUCUUCUUGAAAAGAAGCUGUUUUUACAUUUUAAUAUGAGAGAAAACAAUUCUUAGUAAGUUCUAUAUUUAUGACAUCUACAAGUAAAUUUAUUGUCGGAUGUCAAAAAUUUACAUAAGGCGCAAUCUUGUCCUAGCUGUUGAGAUAUGCUUCUAACAAAUGGAAAUGAUGGUUGCUCUCUAUAUGAAGUAAAACAAUCAAAUUUUUUGAAACAAGAAUAAUUUUAAAAAGAACAAUAUAGUGGAAUAAAAGUCACUGAAAAUCAAUGACAAUAAAUUGACAAAAACAAAGAAUAAUCUCUCAUUCUUUUCAUAUCAAGAAGUUCAGGAGUUGAAGCUAUAUUUUAUGCAAAAUGCGUCAAUGAUUAAACAGUUCAGAAUGAAAUGAAGUUAUUUUAUUGAAAGGCAAUCAACUAAAUUAUUAUCCUUAAGACAUACGUACCUUUAUAAUAGAACCAUGGACCUAUAUGAGAUGGCAUGAGAAUUUCAUCAAUACCAUUAGCAUAGCGUUGACACUAUAUGCAGAAGUAUCACAAAGCACAUAAAUCAGCUGGUGCAUGGUAUAAUUUUGUGUGUAAGACUAAUAUCCCAUUUUUCUGAACAAUAGCAUCAAAUAUGAUACACAAUAGAUGAACAUUUUUUUUUUUUUGGUUUUGUUUUGUUUUUCAAAUAAAUACAAUAAAAGAGUGUAGAGGAACAGAGAAGGAAUGGUACAAAGGGGAUAUUUGACAUGGUUUCUGUCAAUAAAAGCAGAAUUUACUGUUAGUUUUGAACUAUCUUUGACCAAUAUUUUAUUUCUUAGAUGAAAAGGCACGGUUCUCUAAAGUAUGAUAUGUGAAGGCAGCAUGGAAAAGCAAUAUAAAUAGUUAAAAAUGACAUGUGGGAAUAUUUCAUAUAGUUCAUCUAUUCUAAAAUUAGUCAGACAAACUACUAAAAUUAUUUAGUAGACAGGAAUUAUAAUAUUCUCACACUAAUCAUAAGAGAAUGAAAUAUAGAUCUUUAAUAACUAGCAUGAAAUAUUCUCACACUAGCAUGAAUUUCGCAUAGCAAAUCAAAACUAGUAAUUUGGACCAAAAAUUCUGUACUUUUGAUCAAUCAAUCAUUGCAUGGUUAAAACAUCCAUCCAAUACCUAUACAUUAGAUGAAUGAUAAUAACCUGAAAUUUGACCAUAAAAUCUCCCCACAAGAAAAUUGGGCUUAAUUGAAUAUAUCAAGUGGAGCAGAUAAAGGAUCAAGCUAAUAUCUCACUGAAAGAGGGCUCAUAUAAACAACAUUAAUGUUCAGUCUAGUCUCAAAGAAGAGAAAAAAAAAAAAACCAUUAAGUAAGAGAUUAUAUACAGUUUUGUAGCCAACCCAGUUAGUGAUGUGUCAAUCAUAAUUCAACAGCAAAUUCAUUGACAAGGAAACCCGCAAUUUGAUUACAUGACAAUGUUAAUGCCAUCUUUCAACAUGCAUGCACACAAAAUAAGUUUUGUUUGCGGUUUACGCAAGUCUGUCCAAAAAAUGUAUGUUCUGUUUUGCAUGAGAUACGUAAGUGAAUUCUAUUUUAGGGAUUUGAUUUGGACAAUCAGUAAUUAUUCAUUUUCAAAUGGUUAGCUAUGGUAGUUCCAUAUAUUCUCUAAUUUUACUAUUACUUCUGUAAUUUCAAAUUCAACCUAGCCUUAAUUUGUGGUUCAAUUCAAUUGCCUUUCAAUUUGUUUGCUAAAAUCAUUUAGAAAAGGUCAAAAUAGAAAUAUAAUGACACCACUUAAUAGUAAAAUGUAAAUAUAUAGAUAUACAUAUUUAUUUUCCUUUUCAUGCAACUGGAAAAAAAAAAAAAAGACAAAUAAAUGGAGAAAAGCAGUUCAAUCCUUUUUUUUUUCCUCUCCACUUGGACCAAUCCACUUACUCGGCUUCCAAAAUUUUGCCUAGACAAGAUAUGCCUUAUUUGCAAGAUGGAAGACCUUGGAUGCUAGACAAGAAAUGAGAAAUGACAGCUUGAUUUCGGUUUGUAUGUAUUUGAGAUAUUGCUUUUUCUUGCUGGAUUCCAGUCUCAGAACUAGUAAAAUAUGGCAAGUUACUCAAUUUAAGUUUAUCCGCAUAAUGGAGAGAGGAGAACUUAACUACGAUUCUAUAAUAAUUCAGAGUAAAACUUCUUAGCACAUUGUCGGCAAGAAAAGCCAGAUAUCCAGCCAGCACAUUUAUACAUUGCAGCACGCCAGCUUGCAUGUCUACCGUGUGUCUAUCAAUAUCAACACUCUCAACUUGACCGUUCACUCAUCGUACUACAUUCUUCCACCUAAACCCCAAGUCCGUGUCCCCAUUGUCUCUUUAACUUUGCCCCAUUCUAUUUAAGGCGAAGCUUGCAUCCCACAAUACAGCACCCACUCGAUAGCUGUUGCCCUCAUCUCCUAUUGCUUUGAGUUGCUAUCUUCUCAGGUUCAUGUUUUGAGAAUCAUUCUUCUUCAUAAUAUAAACCCUAGUAACUAUGAGAAAUUUAGUUCUUCAAGAGCCUGAGGUGAGAGUGACCGAUGAUGUUACAAGCAGUUUGAGCUAUGCCUGGCAGUGCAUACGAGUUCCAGUCAUUGCACCACUUCUCUGGUUUGCAAUUUUCGUGUGUGCAGCAAUGUCUAUUAUGCUUUUCAUCGAGCGGGUUUAUAUGGCAAUUAUAAUCUUGUGUGUGAAGGUGAUGAGGAAGAAAAGAUACACCAAGUAUAAGUUGGACACCAUGAAAGAAGACCUAGAGCUUAAUAAAAGCUACCCCAAGGUGUUGAUCCAAAUUCCUAUGUAUAACGAAAAGGAGGUAUACCUAACUUUUCCCAAACAUUUAUUGUUGCUAGUUUUAUAUAGACUAUACACAAAACUUGCAGGGUUAUAUAUAGAAACAUGAAUUAUCACAACCUUCCAUCCAAAAAAUCCACAUGAAUCUAAAUUUUGGAGCAACAAAUAAAACAAUCAUUCAGUUAUAACAAAAUAUUGUUCAAUGACCAAAUUUUCAGAUCAGAGAUGUCAUUCUGUAUUGAACGAUAAACAAUCAAUAAAUUUCUUUUUUAUCGUCUGCAUGUCAAAUUCUAUUCUCAUUUAAUACAGAGAAAGAACUUUCUUUCUCAGAAAGAUCCAUGCACACAUAUAUUUGCACAUAAAGAUAUGCACUACAAGCAAAUAUGACAGCAAAUGAAGAAGAAAGAUGAAGAAUAAUUCGUGUAACAAAUCUUACAUAGUUGGGAUAAGAUUUCUAAUUCUGCCACAAAGUUGGAAUUCAGUAAGAUUUAGUAAGCUGCAUAUAAAUAUAAACUUAUGCAUAUGCAUGGAUUACACUUCUUAAACAAUUUUUUAUUGUUGCUCCUAAUUGUUUUUCAAAUGAUAAUUCUACCCUGUCCUCUUUAGAUUUUGUUGUUUUUCUUGCCCCUUUUUGUGGGCGCAUUAUUAGAAUUAAACCCCCAACAAUCCAUCUCCACCCCCUCACCCUCUUUCAAUUAUACACAUAUUAUAGUUCACUUCAAACUUUUUGUUGAGAUUGAGGAUGAUAAUUUAUUUUCUUUUAAUCUUAAACAUUUUUAUUACCAUAAUUGCUUAGUACAUGUGCUAAUAUAAUAAAUGGUUUAUACACUUGUACUGUUAUUCAAGCUUAAGAAUUUCCAAACCUAGGCUAGCUUUAUAACAUUAAUUGCACCCCAUCUUAAUCACGCCCACAAGCAGGUAGAUUCCUUUGCAAAAGCUGUGAUCUAAAUUGUUCCAUUCCAAUCUUUAGCUCUAGAUACAAACAUCUGUAUAUAAGCAUUAUUGAUGCACCAACAAACAAAAAAGAAAAACGCAAGUGCAUCUGAACAGGACGCAACCAUUUUGUGCUUUACCGCAGCUUACCAACAAAAGUAACGAAAAGACCAGUCGGUGAUGGACUUUUCUUACUGACGCCAUCAGGACUGGCCGUUUCCAUGUUUGGAAAAUCAUGUGGGGCCAACCAAAUGGGGCUUAGUGUUGUCUUAAUAACAUGAUUAUGUUUGCAGUUGUGGAAUAAUUGAUACUUCCCCUUCUCCUUCUCCAGGUUUACAAGCUUUCCAUUGGAGCAGCAUGCAGUGUUUCAUGGCCUUCUGAUCGCUUCAUAAUUCAGGUUCUUGACGACUCCACCAAUGAAGCCUUGAGGGUAUUUUUCAAACUAAAAAUAACCUCAACUAUCAACAGUUUUAAAGCGUGAAUCCACGAUAAUAUAUAUAUAUAUACAUGUAUUUUUAGGUGAUGGUCGAGUUGGAGUGCCGGAAAUGGAUAGACAAAGGAGUGAAUGUGAAAUAUGAGACUAGGAACAACAGGAAUGGCUACAAGGCUGGUGCUCUUCGGGAAGGUUUACAGAAGCAAUAUGUUGAAGAUUGUGAGUUUGUAGCAAUCUUCGAUGCAGAUUUUCAGCCAGAGGAGAAUUUUCUUUGGAGGACCAUUCCUUUCCUGCUAGAGAAUCCAGGGUUGGGCUUGGUUCAGGCUAGAUGGAAAUUUGGUAAGACCAUUAAACAAGAUUAUAACUACUUCGUUACUUGAUAAGCGCUGAUAAUUGUCCAUUCUUUGUUGAUGAUUAUUUGAUGGCUAUUAAGACCCAUGCAUCAUUUUGCAUAGUGCAAGCAUGUCACAUUCGAAGAGAAUUGCUCCAUCAGUUCUCUUGUAUUGAGGCCAAGUUGUCAAGCUGUUUCUUUUUUCCUUGUUUUUAGUGCUUCAACAGUUAACACUCCACUGGAAGAGCUGUUGUUGCUCAGCUAUAGCUUUUGGUCUUGUUCAUUAGGUACUAUACAUCACAUAAUGGUCAGGUUCACCUGGUAAGCUCAACCCACAAGCCUGUUUCCAUGACUCUAUAGAUUAAGAUGCUAGUUAACCUCAGCCACAGCUGUCCCUCUCGACAAAGUCAAAUACUAAGUUCUUUACAAGCAAUUUUACAAGUUUAAGGUUUUUAACUGUCAGUUUUUACAUAAAUCUAUGCUUUUAUUUCUAUUUAGAAUAUGAUAGUGAGAACUCUGUCAUUAUUUUUAAUAUUUUAUUCUUCUACUGUUUUUGGCUGUUAUUUUCAUUGAAACCACCAAAAUAAACCGCUACACUACUGUCCGUGAAAACUCACCAUAAUCUAGUAUUAACUUUUUAUUCUUGUUUGAUUUUCUGUUAUCUAGGCAAUUCUUAGAACAACAAAAAAAAAAUCACAAAUUUCCAAAAAUUUCCCUUGUUUUGGGCAUUCUUACCAUAGUUUGCUUUUGCCUAUUAUUCUCUGCUAACAGAAAUAUUAGCCUGAAUAUUUUUACUCAUUAUUUCAUGAACAGAAAAAUCAGCUCAAAAUUUUCUACCCAUUAUUUCAUGAUAUUGAUCUAAUUAAGCUACUUUGACAUUGCUAUUUUACAAGAUUUCAUGUAAAACUUCCAAAGUUUUAGAGUAUGAUCAAGUUCAAAUUUUGAAGUUACUUUCUUCAGGCUGGGUUUCACUCUAUAAACCUGACCCAUGGCUUACUUACACAAGGAACUCAGUAUCUAUCAAUUGUUCUUUUCCCCAUUCUACUAUUGAUUGCAUGAUUGCUUAAGGUAAUUAAUAUUGAUUUUCUCUCCAUAGUGAAUGCGGAUGAAUGUCUAAUGACCCGACUCCAGGAGAUGUCACUAGACUAUCACUUCAGUGUUGAGCAAGAAGUGGGCUCCUCGACAUGUUCCUUCUUUGGGUUCAACGGUAAUCUAAAAUAGAACUAAGCUUUUAAUGAAGAUCGUUAUUUUUAUGUGCUUACAAGAAAAACACCAGCUGAGCUUCUAGUGAUUAUGUUCAUAGGUACCGCUGGUGUUUGGCGGAUUCAAGCAAUAAAUGACGCUGGCGGAUGGAAAGAUCGAACCACAGUGGAAGACAUGGAUCUUGCAGUCAGGGCUAGCCUUAAGGGUUGGAAAUUUCUCUUCGUGGGGGAUUUAUCCGUAAGUUUUUCAAGUUCAUUUUUUAAUUCACAGCAGCAGUGAAUGUCUUUUAAGCAUCAAUAUAUCAUUAAUCUCUCAACACUCACACUCUUCCUAGGUGAAAAAUGAACUACCCAGUACCUUCAAGGCAUAUCGAUAUCAGCAGCAUCGCUGGUCUUGUGGCCCAGCUAACCUUUUCAGGAAAAUGACCAAGGAAAUCAUUCUCUGCGAGGCAAGUAAACCCAAAACUUUGGCAAUAAAACAUCUAAUUUAGGUUAAUCCUACUAAAAUAACUUUUAGAUUGUAUUAAAAAAUCCCUCACAAUGAAGAAAUCACAUAGAACCUUUUAUCUUCUGCAGAAGGUAUCAACCUGGAAGAAAUUUCAUGUCAUCUAUGCAUUCUUCUUUGUGAGGAAGAUAAUCGCGCACUGGGUCACUUUCUUCUUUUACUGUGUGGUUAUCCCAUUAAGCGUUUUAGUUCCUGAAGUCGCUCUCCCAAAGCCGAUAGCCAUUUAUAUUCCAGCAACCAUUACAUUUCUAAACGCAGUCUGCACUCCCAGGUAAAAAUAGAAUUAAAAAUAAAUAAAAAUCCAAACACAACCUAUAAAGUCAUUUUUUUUCCCCUCCCAUGUUUCCUCAAAUUGUCAAUAAUGCUCAACACAGGUCUUUGCAUCUGGUUGUCUUUUGGAUCCUGUUUGAGAAUGUCAUGUCACUCCAUCGAACUAAGGCGGCAAUUAUAGGACUUCUAGAAGCCAAUCGUGUCAAUGAAUGGGUUGUGACUGAGAAGCUAGGCAACCUAAUGAAACAAAAGAAUGCCAAAGCAUCAAAGAAAUCACGAUCUCGAGUAGGAGAAAGGUAUUUUUUCAUUUUUAUUUUUAUUUUUUGUUUCUUGUCUUUCACACUUCAUCAUAUUUCGAGGAGGUUUCCCAACCACAAAGAUGACAAGUAGACCAGUUAAAUUAUGGAACUUUGCACUCUCAUAACACAAACCAUGAUCACUAGCACCUAGUUUUAAUUUCUAACUUUGUGAUGUUACAAACAGGAUCCAUUUAUUGGAGCUGAUAAUGGGGAUGUUUAUGCUACACUGUGCAAUCUAUAAUCUCCUAUUUAGAGAAGACCAUUUCUUCAUAUAUCUCAUACUGCAAGCUGGAGCUUUCUUCAUAAUGGGAUUUGGAUACGUGGGGACAUUUGUAUCCAACUAGAGCAUAAGACAACCUGGGUCAAGCCAUGGACAGUACAAAAGCAUAGAGAGCAGGCAGAUCAGUUCUUUAGAUGCGUGUAUCACUAAAGGGGAGAAAAUGGUUAAACAUACCUAGUAGAGUAUUAGUGUACAAGAAAAUGGUUAAAUCUACCUAAUGGAGUAUUAGUGUAUGUGUGUUUAGAAUAGUUUGAACAGUUUCUCAAUCUUAUAUUCCCACAUGAUAUGUUAUAGAACAGCAACUGAAUAUUGUGUUGCAAGUAAAUGUGUUGCCUAGUUUGUUCUUGAAGAUAAAUUUCUUCCAUAUAUGUGUCGUUUCAUUAGUAAAUGACUAUUAUUAUAUAUCAAUCAAUGAAGAAACCUGAAAGGACUGUUGAUCUACAUUUCUUACACUCGGGGAUUUUCUCUACCCAAUUGUUUGACGAUACAUGUGAAGUUUCACAUAGAAUAGCAAUCAGCAGGAACUUAACAACUUCCAACAGAUUACAAAUGAUCACUAAGGAUAUCUUAAUUUCCAGAAGACACCAAAAAUAAGGUAUUCUCCUCCUUCACUGAUGCACCGAAUGCCAGCAAGAAAGGAGACUCCAGGCCCCAAAGGACACCAAGUCAUUCCAUGUUCCAGAAGGAUGUUCCAACUUUUAAGGCCCACAAACUCCCAACUUUUAAGGGAGGAAAACCCUUAUCAAACAAGAAGGGUAGUCCUUUUGCAAUUGGAUGAACAAUAUAUGACAUUUUUUCUAUAACUGGGGCCAUAAUUUUCUUAAAUCAUGAAACCAAUCUCCAGGUUCUCAACUCAAAGGCAUUUGACCUUCAUGCCAAUGGAGUUAAAAUAUUUAAGCGCCCUAAUUUCAUUCUCAUUUGUCACCCAUUGGGUGCUACCUUGAAGUUAUCACAAAUGCAGAUUGAUUAUUUAUCAUCACUUGUCUUACCACUUGUCCAACACAAUGUCACAUUUUUUUUGAUAGGUAAAGAUAAUUCAUUAAGAGCCAAAAGGCUAGAGAAAGGGUAUACACGGAGUAUACCAAGAUACAAAGAGGCAAAAAGCAAAAAGAUAAACAAGCCAGACCCUUACUUGGUGGCUAGCCAGUCUACAAAAUCUAUCAAAGAGAGAGUGUGUUCCUCUAUAUACACCCUAGCUCAAUUCACAAAAGUGUACAAAAAAAUGGAUUUAAUAUCUUGGUCGUUCCUCUCAAUAUCAUCGAAGACCCUCUUAUUCCUUUCUUUCCAAAUGGUCCACAUCAGGCAGAGGAGGGCAACUCUCCAAGCUUUCUCCCUUUUCUUGCCCACGAAAGAUCCAUGCCAUCCUAGGAGGUUCCUUUUCACAGAGGAUUGCAUCACCCAUUGCACCCCAAAAAGGGAGAAGAUCAGAAGCCAUAACAUUCUGGCCUUCUCACAAAACAAGAGAAGGUGAUCUGUGGUUUCGUCCUCAUAUUUGCACAAAAAUCAACUGUUGGGGAUGCUCCAACCAAAUCUCUUCAGGUGAUCAAUGGUGAUCAACCUACACCAGGCCGCCUCCCACCCAAAGAAGCUAGUCCUAAUUGGAACCCAAGGCGUCCAAAUAGUUUUAGCCGGGAAGGGGGGCUUGAUGCCCCUUGAGAAUGAGUGUAGAAAGACUUGACAGAAAAGGUCCCAUUCUUGUUCUCUUUCCACCGGAGCGAGUCAUUCACACCUCUUCUAAUGGUCAAAGGAUGAAGCUUGCUUAAUAAGCUUUCUACUUCUCCCACCUCCCAAUCAUUAAGGUGCCUAUUAAAACGAAGCCCCCAACUACCCCCAACUUCAUUUUCCUCCCAAGCCUCAGCAACCCAGCCUUCUUUGUUGACGGAGAGAUUAAACAAGAAGGGGAAAGCUUCUUCCAGAGAUUGGUUUUCACACCACAAAUCCUUCCAAAACUUCACUCUAGUGUCAUCCCCUAUGAUAAAGCAGGAGUGAGAGCGAAAGUUCUUCCAACCAUUUCUGAUGGCCUUCCAUACCCCCACCCCAUAACGGUCUCUUACUCCUUUGGAGCACCAUCCCCCCUCUUGAACGUCAUACUUACUAGAGAUAAUUUGCUUCCAUAGGGGCUCAUUCUCAGCCAAGCCUUCGACAGAAUAGCCAUUCCACCAGCUUCUUACUAAGUCUUUGAAACCAUCUAUUUUCAGCCACAUAUUUUCAAAACGGAAGGGGCUUUUGCUUGAGGAGAAACCACCAGCUUCAAGGACUAUUGGGCUGUGAUCAGAGACCAAACGAGGGAGAGCAGAUUGUGUGAUGACUAAAAAAUGGUCCUCCCAUUGAUCCGAAAUCAGGAAACGGUCCAAUCUAGAAGCAGCUUGAGAGUUCAAACCUCCUAUCCAAGUGAAAGGACCUUCGGCCAGUGGAAAAUCCCUCAGGCCCAGCUCCCCAAUCACCUCUGAAAAUCUCCUCAUUUCAGCUGUGAGCCUAGAGGCAUUCCUUCUUUCCUCUGGGAAUCUUAUAGCGUUGAAGUCCCCUCCUAUGCACCAAGGGUCUUCCCAGAGGCCACGGAUGGCUCCAAGCUCCUCCCAGAAAUCUUCCUUUUCACUGCCCAUCACUGGCCCGUACACUCCAAAGAAAAUCCAAGAGAAGCCAUCAGUGCAGUUUCUAAAACGAACAGAGAUGGAGUACCCCCCGCUUUCUACCUCCAAAUUCUCCAAGACUCUGUUAUCCCAAAAGAGAAGGAGGCCUCCUGCCACACCCCUAGCAUCCACUGAGGCCCAAUUAAGGAAUCUUCCUACUCCUACACUUUUUACCAUUUGCAUAGAUAUUUCUUUCACCUUUAUCUCAAAAAGACAAACCAAAUCUGGUUUUUGAUUCCUCACCAUUCCCUUGAUCAAUUUUCUUUUCUCACAAUCGUUAAGCCCUCAGACAUUCCAACAAAGAAUUUUAAUUCUCAUUAAUCAACUGGAAUCAAAUCCCAGGAGCUCUGACCGGAUUUUUUAGUUGUCCCCCCAUAACUGACAGAGCAUUCAAGUCUUUUUAACUCUCUUUCGAAACGGGUGGUGCAAGAUUUUUUCUUCUUCCUUCUCUUGCAUAGGGAGUUACUUCCAGUCCUCAGCUUCAAUUUCAUAAGCAUGGCCAGAAUUUCGACUUCAUUCCCUUCGACAGGCAUUCCCAAGACUUUACUAAAGUGAAAUAGUUUGGAGAGCUCCUCUUUUGACCAUCCUUCUUCGCAUGGGGGGACAGGCGACAAGUCUUUCUACUUCUUCACAUCUUUUUCCAGAUCAGGUCUCGGGGUUUCAUUCAGAAACACUAUCGACCCAUCUCUAAGCAUCAUGGCCAGAGGGUUCGACGUCGCUCCGACCUCCCUUAGCGUCGAUUCCAACAGACCAGAGCAAGAUCCCCUUUCCCUCUCAAACCCUGAAUCUCAGAAUGGAGUAGAAGAAGAGGAAAACUCUCCUCUCGAGGAGAACGGAGGUUGAGAGAACAUACCUUGUGGUUUGCGAGCUUCAACGAGGGGACGGGGGGAAGCUCAAUCACAGGCGGCGACGCCAAGCCAUGUGGAUUGCGAUCUUGAACGGGUGGGGAAGGCUCAUUUGCAGGCGACGACACUUCCAAAUGGGGCGUCGCUUCCAUCCGGCGGGUCUUGUGAGCUUUAACGGGGAGGGGGGGAAAUCUCAGCCAAUCCAAAUGGGGCGUCACUUCCAACACAAUGUCACAUUUCACCAAGCCUAUUGUAUUGACCUUUUUCUUAUGCAUUUUGUUUAAUAAAACCCUACCAAGUACCAAUGUCAAAAACAUUUUGCUCUUCCCAAUUAUUGCAGUCAUCAAUAUUCAUGCAAAUGACAGAUAAUCAUCUGCAAAAUAUCUCAUCUUGUCACCAUUUGACAUUACUUUCAAGCUCUAAUGAAUAUACUGCUUUCUAGUUAUUCAAUCCUUUGUAUUGGAAUGAGUCUAAGGCUAUUCAAGAAAAGGGAAAAAGGGAAACAACAAAAAAUUUAGAAAUUUUUAUUUCUUUAGUCAUAAUUAGUAAAUAUUUUAUUUUAGUCUCAUUUAGAAUUGGGAGGUUGUUUCAUUAGAAAUUUCCCGGUAAAAAGAGUUUUUAUAUUUCUAAACUUUCUAUUUUCCAAAAAUCACUUUUUCUAAAGGUUUUAUUCUUAAUAACUGAGGAAACUUUCAUGAUCGAGCCUUUCACACUCUUCAUAGGGACCCAAACCUCUCGAUGCUAACUUUGUUGGCCACAACCAAUACCAAGUAAUCUAGGUCAUUUAACUAGUUGUAGGAAUCAAACCCUAGACUGUGCAUCUCUACCACACGUCCUCGCAUUCGCCCUAACCAAUUGGGCACCCUGAUGGGGAUUAAAGUUUCUAUCUUCUUAAAAACUGUUUUUUCUUUAAAAAAAAAAGGUUUCUCUUUUCUAAAUAGCUUUUAUUUUCUAAAAGUUUCUAUUUUCUAAAAAUUAUGUGUUUCCUAAAAAAUUUUACUUUCUAUUUUCAUUUAAGAAAAAGGUAUAAUAGUUCUAGGAAAGAAAGGGGCCAAUUGAUACUUGAGAUAUGAUUCCCUAUCGGAGGUGAGAGUUGGUUCACAAUGGAGUCAAAGUCCUUUGAAAUCAAUGUUGAGAAGGUCGCUUAAGAGGAAGCAUUUUGAAGAGGGGCAGAGGUUCUUCUAGUUGGAUUAGAUUCAGAAACGUGAGCUUAUCCCAAUUGUUAGAGGGGUUGGAAGCUUGUUGCAAUAAAUGGGAAGGACUUUGACGUAGGACAAACGAAAGUCUAAUGUCCCACAUCGAUUGAUUAGUAACAGUGGUUUGGCCUUAUAUAUGGAGCUACCUCUACCUCCCAUUAGCUUAGGCUUUUGAGAGUGUAUGAGGUCCCACAUCAUUUGGUAUCAAAGCAAGGUUCCUAGCUCGCUAGCACGGGCGUCAACAGAUAAGUGGGGGAGUUGGACAUAAGAUGGAUGGAAGUCCAAUGUCCCACAUGGGCCACAGCAGCUUAUUACUAACAUUGGUUAGGUUUUAUAUAUGGGGUUAUGUCUACCUCUUAUUAGCCUAGGCUUUUGGGAGGGUAUGUGGUUUUGCAUCAUUUUGUAAGGUUUGGGAGGAAGGAGGGAGGUCUUUUAGAAUGGAAAACCAUUCAAACGAAGCUAGAAGGUUUAUUCAAUAUUCGGUUAAGUCCAUGGAGGCCAAGAGGUUCACAUUGAUCUACCUUGAAGGUACGGUACUAGACGGAGAGUGGUCCAUUCUAACCAAGAAGUUGAGGGUUCUUGGCGUGGUCUCUUUCUCUCAAUUUCAACAAUGAGAGAUGAUACACUAGAGGUCAAAGGAGGGGAGUAGAGGGCAAGUAAUGCUUGCAGGCCUUUUGCUAGGGUGGGAUGGAGGUAAAAUGGUGUAAUGGAUGAAGGGUUGUUGCUUCAAUUAGUCUUUGACUAAGGGGCAGCAAAGGGAGGUGAUUCUAAAGAGUUGUUUAGUGGGGAGAUGGGGGAAGUUUUCUAAUUCCGUUCUUGAUUUGCCUUCAUUGAAGAGAUGGUCUACUAAGGCUUGGCACUUAAAGGGAAAGAAAGGCAGGUAAGUAUGGGUGAGGCUAUCCCUGCUUGGACAUGCUCUCCUUCUCUUUGAUUUUGAAGAAAGCUUUGAUGUAGUGUCUGUUUUAAGUAGUGGACAGAGGAGGUUCUAGAACAAAUUAUUAUUUUUGGAUAGUUCAGCUCUUGAAGUAGGAUAUUUCCAUAAAGGAGUGCAUGCACAAAAAGUUUGGAUGAGUAUUUUGGGGAUACUGUUGCAUUUGUGGUGUUGGGAGGUGUUUAGAAAGUUGGAUGACCAGUGUAGAGGUUUUGUGGUUGUCAAUGUAGAUACAACUCAGUGCAACAAUCUGCAAUAGGCAAGAAUUUUAGUGAAAUCUGAUGGAAGAAGAAAGCUUGGAACUUUGCAGCUGGUGCUUAGCCAGACAUGUUUUGCUGUCUAGUUGUGGUAGGAAGUUUCCCCAUGGCUGUCUUAGGUGGUUAAAAGAGAAUCUGGCAGCAGACUGGAGGUUAGGGGUAAAGAGGUGAGUAAGCCAUGCAUUGGGGGAAGAAGCGUGGGUGGUUUCUCUGUUAUUAAAGUUUGGCAUAGGGAAUGUAUCACUAACUGAAGAACUAUCAAGGCAGAAAACAAAUAGCUUGCUAUGAUGUUGCUAUAGAAGUCUCUGUAGGUAAAGGUGGGAGUUGAGGGAGGUAGUAGGUCCACUAAUGUUGAUAUGAAUGACAGGGUGGGCCGUAAAUGCAUCAAAAGAGCCCAAAGAGAAAUGGAGUGAGCAGCAGGUGGUAAUGAUGGAGUGGGCAACGUGAUGUGUUAAAACUCCUAAGAUGAGCUAGUAAAGGCUACAGUGAUGGACCAAGCUGGGGUAGGCCUUUCAAAAGGGAUGGGCAAGGGAGAGCCCUUUCUUCAAGAGGGUUCUAGGGUGGACCCUCAACUUACUAGUUUUAAUGGGCUUGGUUUUGGGCUAGGAGAACAAGCAAACCAAGCCCUUUUGAACUUUAAGGGGCUUAGGGAUUCUUUUUCCACUGAGGCCUUCUUUAUAAGAGGAAUGGAGAAUAUAAGGGAGAAGUAUGGAACUACCAUGGAGGAGGAGAUGAUGGUUUUACUGGUGGAGAAUAGUCUUUUGAGCUCUGACGUGGCCCUCUUCGCUGAGGUGACAAGGCUUCCAAGUUCUAUUCCUCUCCCUGCUUCUUUUUGGGGAUGAAGGUUUCUCUUUCUUCUUCUUUCUCUAAGGGUACUUAAGCUCUUAAGGGUCAUGAGAGGGUCUCUGAUGUAGUUUUGCACGAUGGUGGUAGUGGCCCGCUGAGGAUGGUUUUGGUCACGGUGGAGUUUCUAGGGAGGGAGACAAGGUCACUUGAUGCUUUGGUGGAGAUCAUUAAGGAAGAGGGAGUGGUUCAUAGUUUAGCCUUGAGAGGGGAUAUCCUUUUGGAGGACUGGUCUUCCAACAGCUUACCUGUGUUCAGUAAUUGGCUUGGAAUGUCAAUGAAAGGGUAUGAAACAGAGAUUUUGGAACUUCUUCAGAAGAUAAAAGGCUACAAAGGAGGUGAAGUGUCGGGUUGGUGGAAAGAGGAGAAAGAACUCCAUUUCUUUGAAAUUCGAAAGGGAAUUAAACAAGCUUGAGUGCUUUGUGAAGUAUAAGGGUUGUCUGUUAGAGGUGCCAAAAAUAGGGAUGAGAAAAAAAUCAUAAAGUCAAUUAUUAGAGCUAAAAAAAUAGACCUAGUUUGUAUUUGGUAUGUUUUAAGGAAUCAAAGGUGCUUUUGUUGUUGGUCCCAAUGAUGAGGAGCCAUGAAGUAGGAAGAUUCUUUGGUUCAAGUGCAGAGAAGGCAAGGUCAGUUGGGGGGGCUUUCUGUUUUACUAGGUUGUUAUGGCAUUGGUUUUGUAUUGAGUGGUGGUUGUUGUUGCCUUUUUCCUUUUGCUUGCCUUUUUGACAUUAUUUGUAUACUUUGUGUGUACUUUGGUGCACCUUUUUUCAAGCACUUCCAAUUUAAUUGCUGAUUUUACCAAUAAAAAAAAUCAUAGUUAUAGACUAUUAAGUUACUAUACAGAUUAGGAUUUUUUUUUUUUCAACAUGGUUUAUAAGUUUUUGGGAUUUUCUAAAGUUUGUAAAUAAGACUAUUUGAUGUAGAAAAGAGAUUAAUAAAUGAAUGAUGAAUGAUACCAAUUUUUCUGCAUACUUUACUAUUUCUGAUGAUAGGACUCCAUUAUGUUUCUUCUAAUAGAUAAUCUUAGAAGACCUUAAUGAGACUCUUAAGGUUUUCUAUCUUUUCUUCUCUAUAUCCUUUUUUUUUUUUUUUGGCACUUUUAUUGCAUAUGGCCAUAGUUUUAAUUCCUUGUUCCUUUCAUUCAAUCCGAAACUAGUGGAGUUCCAGUCCACCUAUUUGAUUAUAGACAACCACCCUAGGAUUGUUUUAUAUCAUUUCUCUUGCUAUUUAUUCACAAAAAAUCCUUAUAUCUACUGUUCUCAAUACAUGUUUCUUAAGGGCCCAGCUAAAGCUAGAGCAUAUUUCUCUACUCAAGGAAACAGUUGAGGAACAGGAUGAAUGCACAAGAAGAGUAAACUGAUAAUUACAGAAACAGAAACUGAAGAAUAUCUUUUAUUUUUUGAUAGGUAAACAGAGCAAAUAUAUUAAAAGCGCUAGGAAAAGGCAUACAAAGUACACAUGGAGCAUGCAUGUAGCAACCUAAUACAAGCAAAAGGAAAGAGAAAUCACAAACCAGACCCCCAAAGUAGAGGCAAAGACAAACCACAAACCAGGCCCCCAAAGUAGAGGCUUCGCCUCAGAGCUAGCAAAACAAAAAACCACAGACAUAGCAAACAAACCCUUAGGAGAAACUGCCACAACCCCUCUUCCUUGCCCUUCCUGAAACUACCAUCUUUUGCCCCCUAGGAAAUUGUAGUCCCAACACACACCUUACAGGGUCACUGACUGACCAUCUCCCCCCACUACUCCAGCUCCUCUGACUGAAGAAUAUCUUAGUUCAGUCAGAGAAGAAAAGACUAGCUUUUUUUUUUAUCACAUUUACAUUUUUUUUUUUGAUAGACAGCUUUUUUAUCACAUUUACACUGCAAGCUUGAGUUAAAUUUCACCAUGACAUCAGGGGAACAAAUGUAACUCACAAAAAUUUUAUCCCAGCUUUCAAACAUUAAAAGAGUACAUAGGAAUCGCUAAGACAAUCAAAUUCAUAUGUUUCAUUAAUUAUAAAAAAUAAUAAAUUUCUAAUCACUCUAGUUCAUCAAGUUUGAUUUCAUAUUGCUCCCCAGACGAGAGGAUUUUUACACUAACCAUACCUCUUUGCCACUCAGAAUUCCCCACCAAUAUCAGCCUUUGUGCAUUUGUCCGUGCUGCUCGUUUGAACACCCUUGAAGAUGAGGCCAAGUGGUAUGCAUAUUACCAAAUCAGAAACCACAGUCAAGGUAGGAAGCUAUAAAAACCCAAACAUGAAAUUGCAUACCAUUUGAGUGGUUUGCUCUCCAAAACCAAAUCAACACUUUGGCCUUUUUCCCUGAGUCUUGUAGCAACUGCAGCAGCUGCUCCUUGAAGAUAAUGAUCCAGAGCGCAGACAAUAUUCUCUACUUGGAGGCUGAGCUCUGGUAGAAGCCCCUUCUCCUUGAGCAACUGAUAAAAAAAUUAAAAACAAAAUAAAAUAAGAAGAAAAAAGAACAAGAAGAAAAGAGGAAAAAAGAACCCAUACCCAUCAAGAGUGAGAUCCCACAGAAAGGCGGAAAAAGAAAAAAGAAACCAUCAUCCAUCAAGAGUGAAGUUAGAUACAUGCACGUGCAUAAAGGGAGAAAGAGAGUGAAUGAGAUAGAGAAGCUAAGUAAAAUAUUUUAAAUAGGUUGAAGAUCAAAGUGAAAUAUUUUAAUUAGGUUCAAGAUUAUAGGCAUACUUUAAACAAGGCAGGUCAGGCACAAACACACAAGGGUACAGGCAUGGCAUUUGAUUAUGACAUGCAGCUUCAGGAUGCCAAACAAAUGUAUCCAGAAAAAGAACAAACAAAUAUGACACAGAUAUGGAAUUAGUCCGUUCUUUGUUACAACGGUACUUCCAAAAUGAGUAAAGCACCACUUUUGAACAUGCAAAGCUACACAUACUUUAUUGCACCCUGAAGUAUUAAAGAAGAAGAUUUGAACAUUCUGUCAAUCCAGUGAGUCUCUUUGCCCUAGGAUUUGGGGCCUGGACAAAUUCAUCAUCUACUUACACACCUGCACAGGAAACGCGUAACUGAAUCCAACAUAGGUAUAAACUACCAAACAAGAUAUAUAGCACAUGUUAGUGACUGUGAAGUUCAGUCGGUCAUUGACUCAAAUGUCCCAUUGAAGGAAUUUCAUUUCAAUGGGCCAAAAAAGGAGAAAAGAAUACAAAGUUUAAUACCUAUCAAAUUUAAAACAUCAAACCAAGGUAAAAUAUAUACAUAAAUAAAGAAAAAGUCGAUUAUAGUCAAAGAUGACUCAGCUGGCAUAGCAUAAAGGUUCAGUCCCUCCACUGAAAGAUUAAAAUUUCUUGCCCUGUAGAUAUAUGUGUUAUAGAAAGAAAUGUAAGUUGCAGCUCGUAAGUAGUCAGAACAUUCAUCAUCGUCUCUGAAAAUCAGUUGGCACGAUAACAAAAUAAGGGAGGGAAAUUUUUUACUAGGCUCAAUAUGCUUGUCGUACAGAAGCUGGUUUAUCUCAAUAAUAAUGACACUAGGGAAGCCAUUUUGGAACAGGAGAAGCAUCUUCUGCCUAAAUAAUAUAACAUCCAAGCAAUUUAAUAUAACAAAUUCACUUCAUUAAAGUUCUUUGAUAUACAAGGCAUAAACUCACUUCAAUAAUGACAGCAUCACCAAAUCCAAAGCCACAAGCAGGGACGUCAUCACCUCCAAAAGUAGAGAGUAAACGGUCAUAUCGUCCACCACCACAAAUGGCCCGCAACUUUCCUUCUCUAUCAAAUCCCUGAUGAAAAGAUGAAUUCAUUGGGAAAAGAAAAUAAGAGGGUCUACUGUUUAUGAACAAAUUACACCAUGUGCAUGUCUAUAAAGAGAAGAAUAAUCAUCAGUAAAAGAAAUUAGCUGUUUCAGCUGCAUACUUAGCCCUCAUUCAGUAAAACUUAAAUUUUGUUUUCAAGACAUGCAAGACUAGCAAUGGCCAUAUGUGCUAAGAAUAGCAUAUUUGCAGCAUCUGGAAUUUCAAUAGUUCAGGAUUUCACAUGAUCCUAUAAUGUCUAUGCCUCUUGAUUCAAGCAUAAGCUGAAAAACAGUACCAAAAUCAAUGUCUGCAUAUCUACUGACGCAGAUAUGAAGUUAGUGCUUUACACUUGGAAUUGGAAAAACUUCGAAAUAUACAAGUGUAGGCACUCCCAUAAUUGAUAAGAAUGCUGUAAUGCUAACAUCGACAUUUUCCCACAUUUGUUUUCAGCUAAACAUACAUGUGUUUCAUUAAUUCAAAAAUCAGAACCAUAAAUCAUCAACUCAGUGACAAGGGGACACCAUCUCCCCUUAUCUGUUCUUGCUAGCCAUGGAAGGGUUUUCUUCUCUUUUUGAAGCUGUCAUUCAGGAAAAGCCUUUCUAUUAUCAUCCCAGGUGCUGCAGUUUAGGUAUAUCACAUAUCAUCUUUGCUCAUGAUUUGUUUGUUUUGGCUGGGGCUACUCCUAGAUAUCUGACAGCAAUUAAGGCAGAUUUAGUUGAGUUUGAAGAAUUAUCAGGCUUAGGCCUAAUCUGCAGAAAAGUAAUCUAUUUUUUGCAGGGGUUGAUGAAGCAGAAAGAGGUCAGCUUUGUGAUAUCCUGGGAAUACAAGAGGGGUGACUUCCUCUUAGGUACUUAGGUCUACCUUUGAUCUCUACAAAAUUGGAUGCAGCUGCUCAUAAGAACUUUUUGGAUGAGAUGAUGAGUAAGAUAAAAAGUUGGAGUACUAAGACACUGUCAUAUGCUGGUAGAGUUCAGCUUAUCAAGUCAGUACUAUCUAGUGUGAAGAUGUAAUGGUCUGGGUCUUUUAUUCUACCUAAGAGAAUGCUUUAUAAUCUUGAAUGGUAAAUAAGUUAAGAGAUUUCUUGUGGACAGGUGCUGAUCUUAAACACACAAGUGCUAAGUUGAUUUGGGAUAUGUCUGUAAGCCCCUUGAGGAAGGGGCUCUAGCAUUAGAAGGUUGGAUGAAUGGAACAAGGCAUUUAUCUUGAAGUACAUAUGGGCUAUCCAUGCUAAAAAGGACUCACUUUGGGUGAAGUGCUUUUGCCUAAGGAGAAGUAAAGGAAGAAUAAAGCCUCCGCCUUUGCACCCACUUGGUGCGCUAUUAAAGAAAAAGAGCAUUUCUAUCUAAUAAUAAUAUAAUAACAGAACGCUUCGCAUUGGCUAGCUUGCUUGGCUACACCCAUAUCGAUUCAAAUAGCCCAUUCAAGUCGAUUCUGUGCAUUGGAUUACUUCUUUUUGCAAUGAUUCCAAUAUGUCAAGCUUCAAUUGUAUAAUGACGACAAACGACCAAGUCAUCACUUUCAUCUACAUAUAUAAAGUACAAUCAAGCAAGCAGUCUUUUAUGUAGUACAAUCAAUCAAGCCCACUGCUGAUUGUGCGGCCACUGAUUUUUCAUUUUUAAGAAGCUCCUCCAAACUAGAAUUCGUGAAUCUUUCCAACUAUACUCACUCUAAAAAAAAAAAAAAGGAGAGCUUAACGACUUCUUUUGAAUGAAAUUCCUUAACUUUCAACCCUCAAGGCCUCAGCUUCUAGCAUGAAAACAAUCUUUGCUAGAAUCACAACAUCAGCCUAUUUGCUAACUCAUCAACUCAUGUGGACAGCACCAUGUUUCAGAAAAAAGGUGUCAUAAAACCCUCAAUCAGUAAAGAUAUAAAUAGCAAACCUAACCUCAAAUACAAUUCCAGUAUAAUAGGCAAGGCCACGGACAACAGAUGCAUCGAAUUGAAUCCACUCAGAGUAGCCAAACUUUUCAGCAAGGGAGAACAGUUGUUUCAGAUCUGCAACUGCUUCCCCAGCAGCUCCAAGUAUCUCUGCACAAUUAUAAACAACAAUCCCAUCACACAUCUGUCUAAUCAACUGUUUCAUUCAAGAAAAACUUACUUCAAUAAACUCACAUUAGCAGACAUCAAAUCAUGUUUGAUGUCUCUGUUGUACUAGUAAAUCAUAUAGUGCAGGCUAUUGCAUUAGCCAUACAAUAAUUUUUAAAAUGCGUAAGGAUUCAAUUUGGUAAGGUGUUAAAAUUUUAUUUAAUUCUAUUUUGUUAAAUUUUUAUACUUGAACCUUUUUGAUCUUUGUUCUUGUAUUUUAUUUUUUAUUUUUAAUUUUAGUUAGAUAGUUUACACUAUAGUUUUUCAUAUUUUUUAGUUUAAGUACUUAGAUUUUUAAAUGGAAGAUAAAGCAAAUUUUUAGUUUUAAACUUUUGUUAGAAUGCUAUGUACUUUUUUCAAUCACAACAUAUUUUCAAUGUUUAAAUAUAUAAGGAUUUAUUUUGGUAAUUUGGUACUUUGCUUGUUUUUUACUUUCAAUCUUUGUUUUUCUUUUUAAUUUUUUAAAGCCUUCAUCACUCUAAUUAUUUAUCUUCUUAACUAUAAAUACAAAUGUUUAGUGUUACAUUUUUGUAAUAAUUCUAUCAUUUUUUAAUUACAAAACAUUUAUGUUAAUUAAUUAAACUAGUGCAUGUUUGGAUACACUUUAUGUUUUCUAUUUUUAACUUUUAUAUAAAAUAUAGUAACUUUCAUAUAAAAUGUAUGAACUUACCAAAUAUCUUUAAAAAACACUUUUAAGAUUUGAGGUGGUAAAGUUUCUUUAAGAUCUCAAUUUUUUUAAACAGUAUUUAAAAGACAUCAUCUUUUUAAGUAACUCUCAAAAAGGUAUUGCAUUUUAUAUAAAAGUUAUUGUCAUUUUCUAUUUUUAAAAAUAUAAACAAGAAGUGUAUCCAAACAAACAACACAUUUUUAAAUUUUUAGUAUCUAUAAGGUAGAAGAUUAUAUGAACUUUUAGUUUUAUAUUUUAUUUUACUUUUAUAAUUUACAGUAUACAAGAUUUAUAAAUUUUUAGGCCAAAUGGGUUGUAAGUGGUUGGGGACAUAAUCAUGCCAUAUCGACACAAUUAACUAAAAAAGUUCCAUGGGUUGGACAUCCAAACAUAAACAUGACUUGUAUGUUAAAGGGGUUACAUUUAUAUAUAUAUAAGAAAGAAAUUGUAUUAAAAAGGCACAAAAAGAGCGCAAGAGUAUACAAGUUGCAUACAAGUAAAACAAAUAAAAAGUAGAAAAGAAGGUACAAAAAAAUACUCCCUCCCUCACCCAAUACCCAACCACUCUGAAAUCAAUUAAAUACAUAUAACCACCACCUAUAUACACCCUAACCCACAUAGAGAAAUUGUUUUGGAAUAAACUUUUUAGCCUUCGAUCAGACAAUGCCUCACCAUAAAAAAAUCUCCCUUAUAUUCCAUUGCAUUUUGCUUUACAAUUUCUAGGGUCCUAUAAUGGAAUUUAUCCAAAUUUCUUAGUACAAAAUCUUAGAUCAACUUUUACAAGAAAAGAAUAAUAUAUGGCAAGACAUUGAUUUUUAGGUUAUUCUUCUAACACUCCCCCUCAAGUUGGUACAAAGAUAUAUUUCAUCCCUAGCUUGUCUAAGAUUGCAUAAGAUGCUGAACUUGAUAAGCCCUUUGUUAAUAUGUCUGGAAACUGUUUAAAAAAGGUAACAAACAAACUGCAAAUCAGCCCGAUGUCAAGCUUUUCUUUAAUGAAAUGUCAAUCUAUCUCCACAUGCUUGAUUCAAUUGUGAUGAGUGAUAUUUAUGGAAACUUUGUUAUUGCAAUAUAGCUUUAUGGGUCCUUUCAAAGUGAUGUCCAAGCCUAUAAAAAUAAUCUUUAACUAGAGUAGUUCACAAAUCCCUUGAGCCAUGACCCUAAACUCAAGUUCUGCCCUAGAUCUAGCUAUUGUUGAUUACUUUUUACUUCUCCAGGUACAAUAUCCAAUAGUAAACCUUCAAUCAACAAUUGAUGCAGCCCAAUUAGCAUCACUGUGAGCUUCCAAUUCCAGCAGUCAGCAUCACUAUAUACUACCUCCAUGUGAGAUUCAUGUGGUGAAUGCAUGGAUUGGAUUACCACACCUAUAGCAUACACAAUGUCUGGUUGAGUAUGAGAUAAAUAAAUAGAUAAAUUGCCCCACGAAUCUUCAAUGGAUCAAAGAGGCCACAAUCUAACAUAUCAUCCUCUAUUUUUCCUUAUAGUUUAUGAUUUUGUUCAAUUUGAGUCUCUGCUGAUUUACAUCCUAACAUCCUUGUGCUCCACAAAAAAAUCAAGGACAUAUUUUGUGGGGAAAUAAAUAUUCUUCCUUUUGAGUGUCUCUUCAAUCUUGAGGAAAUACUUUAGACUCCCUAAAUCCUUGAUCUCAAAUUCAUUGGACAGAUAAGCUAUUAUUCUUUGAAUUCCCCCCUCAGAAUUUUGAGUGACAAUAAUGGCAUCCAUAUUAAUUAUCAAGGUGGUAAACUUAACAGAGGAGUUGUGUUUGAUACACAGUAUGUGAUCCCUGUGGCUUUGAUGAUAGUUCAUUUUUAUCAUUGAUUUUGAAAAUCUCUCAAACCAUGCUCUUAGAGACUAUUUAAGUCCAUAAAGGGACUUCUUAAGUUUGUAAACUUUGUUCUUCAAAGCCUUGUCACCAAACCCAAGAGAGGUAUCCAUGUAUACCUCUUCUUCCAAGUCGCCAUGUAAGAAAACAUUCUUCACAUCAAAUCUACAAAGGCAAUCAAGAUUAGCAGCUAAAGACGUGUAAUACAAACAGUACCCAUCAAAAAAUAUAUAAUAAUAAUAGUGUUCAUUUUUCCAUGGGUGCAAAGGUCUCUUAGUAGUCAUCACCAUAAGUUCUAGUGAAUACCUUGGCUACCAACUUAGCCUUAAACCUUUCCAUUGUCCCAUAAGCCCUGUAUUUAAUUGUAAAAAUCCACUUACAAUCUAUUGUUUUCUUCCCUUUGGGCAAUUCAAUUAUAUCUCAUGUCUUGUUCUUUUUUGCAUCUCUUCAUUAAUUGCUUUCCUCCAAUUCUUAUUUCUAAGUGCCUCUCAAACUGUGUUUGGAAUUUCAAUCGAAGACAUUUGGAUAAUAAGGGCUUACUAUGUAGAAGACAAAUUUAAUUCAAUUACUCUUUACCUAUAAAAAAAAUGUAGAAAAUGAGCGAUGUAAUAAGGUAAAAUUUAUGAUGCAUAUAUCUUCUAAUGCCUUUCUUGAUGGAAUAAGCCAACACAAAUCAUCGUAGACACUAGAAUGAUGAUGGGAUAUGGGAGGAUGCUAUAGAUUUUUCCUUUCUCGAAUGCCCUAUUAGUUUAAAGGUAUUUGCUCAAACUAUGUGUUACCUCUCCUUGACUUGAUCCUCAUAUUCAUUGGUUGGAAUUUCAAUGGACAAAUCAUCUAAAAUUUCCUCAAAAUUUGAUGCUAAUUUAUUCGAAAUUUAUUGGAAUUUCUCAUGUUCAUUGGCUAAUCCAUUAAAGGCAUCCAAGGUUGGAACAUUUGAAACAACAAGAAACAUUGGUGCAAAAUUUGAACAUUAUGGGGCUGAAAAAUCUUAGAUAAUAGGGAAAAUUGAUGUGAAAUCUAAAGUAAAGACAUUUGGCACAUCAACCAACUGGGGAAGGACACCCUCAUCAUUCAUAGCAACAACUUUUGAUAUCUUAUCUUCAAUUCCUCCAAUCUCCCCCUUGAAGAUAAGUGUGUAUGAAAUAAGAUUAACUUUCAAAGAAGGUGUUAUCCUUGGUGAUAUAUAGUCUUUUUGUGAGAUGAUGGUAGCACUUAUAUCCCUUUUAAGUAGAGGAAUAUCCAAGAAAGACACACCUAAGAUCUCUUGGAUCAAGUCUAUCUCUAGAUUGUUUGGGAAUGUGAAUGAAAGAGACAAACCCAAGUGUUUUUUGAGGAAGGGAUUCAAUACCCUUAAAGUUAGGAAAAGACUUGGAGAGUACACAAAUAAGAGAUUGAAGUCAAAGAUUUGAGAAGGCAUUCAAUUUAUUAGGAAUAUAGCAAUCAAAAUGACUUCACCUUAAUACAAUUGUGAAUCAUUCAUUUGAAAAAGUAAAAGCACCUAGCAACUUCCAAGAGAUGUCUAUUUUUCCUCUCUACUACCCUUUUUGUUGAGGGGGUAUCUACACAUGAAGAUUAAUGCACAACACUUUCAUAUUGAAGAUAAGUGUCCCUCCCAUUAUCUAACCUUCAGGUAUGGAUUUUGGCACCAAAUUGAGUAAAAACCAAUUUAUGGAAUAUUAGGAAAAUGGAAUUAACUUCAUAUUUGAAAUUUAGGAGAUAGACCCAAGUGGGUAGGAGUGUAGACAUCAAUGAAAGUAACAAACUAUCUAGAACUCGAAAUAUUUGGUAUUCUGGAGGGAACAUCCAAAGGUAUUAAACUAAAAGGAGAAAAAAAAAAUCCAUUUCUUAUUGGAAAAGGCACAUGGUGGUGUUUUACAAACUCAUUAACCUGGCAGUGAAAAUCCCAUGCCAAACAAUGCAGGAAACAUUUUUUCCAAGAGAAAGAAAGGUGGGUGUCCCAACCAUCUGUGUCAUAAUUAUAUUUGAUCAACUUUUGAGGGAUUAUUAGUGGUAACAAGAGCUUGUGGAAUAGGAUCACUAAUCUUCCAAAGUGUAUUAAGGUGGUAGAUCCACAUUUACCCUUACCAUGCUGUAAUGUUACUAACAAAUAAGAGAUUACAAGAAAAGAUUGGAACAUGAAACACAUUUUUCAAGAAUAAAGGAGUAAUGAAGAAAGUGUCAUUGGGAACAUGUAAAGCAUAUUUCAAGGACAAAGGAAUGGAGAUUAUGCCUUGACUAACCAUGGAAGAAAAGUAGAAAAAUAAUUGGAGUUACUUGUCAUAGGGUUGGUACCACUCGAAUCUAUGAUCCAAAUACUAGAUAAACAAUCCUUAUAGACACUUAAAGCUUUGAUAUUACUUGUUUGGACAAAUGAACAUGAGGUAGUAUUUGCAGUAGGACUUUGUGCAUGUGUUUCAAGCCGGCUAAGAAGUGUUUUCAGCUUUUCAAAAUGGUCCUCGUUGAGCAAAAUAGUUUAUUGUUUAGUGACAGGGAUGGUUUCAUGAGAAACAUCAACAAUGGCCACUUGAUGCACCUAUCUGGAUCUUAUGGCAUGUUUUCCUCCUCUACCACUCCCCCUUUUUACUUCCUAAUGGAGGUUUGCCAUGGAGUUUCCAGCAAGAUUCAUGUGUAUGUCUUGGUUUAUGACAAUAAUCACACCAAAGUGAAUCUUUAUCAUUUGGUAUCCUUCCUUCUCCUUUAGGUGCCAUUGGCUUCAAAUUUCCAACAGUAGUUAAUGAUAAAUUUUUUAGAGUAAAGCCUCCAAGCAUCACAACUCAACACCUCACUUCUCCAAUCAUGUAGGUAUACACCUCUUUCAUGGAUGGAAGAGGUUGUUUCCCCAAUAUUUGUUCUCUUACUUAAUCUAAUUCUGGAUUAAGACCAGCCAAGAAUUCAAAUACACCCUCUUGCUCCAUUAUUUUCUUCACUAUGGCAGUAUCCACAACAGCUACAUUUCUGUGUCAAUAAUAAUUGCAGCCAUAAACUCAAAGUUUGUGGUAAUAUUCAAUCAGAGCCCAACUUCCCUGCUUAAUUAGCAUGAAUUUAACACUACAACUCAUAUAUUGUGCUGUCAUUCUAAUCUUUGAAUAAGUUUGACUGACACAUCCCAACUCUCUUUAGCAGUGGAGAGAAACAAGUACAUUUGGCUAAUCUUCGACUACAUGGAGUGUAGUAGCCAAGACAUGAUUGUUGAAUUUUCCUCAUCCCAAAAUUCAUAUCUUAGAUCAUUGGAGUCAGGUUUUGAUUUAGAACCUAUGAUAUAGCCAUCUUUCCUUUUUCAUUUGAUGAAAAGUUUAGUUGAUUGGGACCAUUGCAGGACAUUCUGGCCAUGGACUUUUUGAGUGGUGAUUUGGAGUGUGGGUUGUCAUUAUGAAUAGUGGAUAAAAAUGGAAGUAUUUAGAAUAUUAGAGGGGGGUUCAAAGGUAGGGUUGCUCAAGAGGAUGAUGUAUUUUCAAUGGGUUUUAGACAUUUUGGGGAAAUGAAGACAAAGUAUCUAGUUUGUGGAGAAAAUGAGUCUCAAACUCAAGGGAAUUAUAAUGGGGAACUAAGUCACCAACAAUUAAUGCUAGUUUGGGAAGAAAAACAAGUGAACAAUGAAGGUUGUUUAUGACUGAGCAAUGAAGUCUCUACGAAUCAUGGUCGUGUUAGACUUCUCUUAUACCAUGUUGGAAAAAAAAAGGUAAUCUCCCUUGUAUUCCAUUGCAUUUUGAUUUACAAUAUAUACAAAAAAAGGGUUGACAAGAUCCCUUAAAUUAUGCAAUCUGAUUUCUAGGUUCCUAUUAUGGAAUUUACCCAUUUUGACAGGCAAAUCAGGGGUGGCAGUAGAGGAUGGAGGAUGGAGAUAUAGGAAGCAUACAAGAAACAAGCAAAAGAAAAUAAAUCCAACAAAUAAAGGCUAAGCCAUGGCCUGCACAGAGCAUCAAACCACCUCUAAAUCAAGAAGUAGUUACAAGCUUGGCCAAAAUAUAUCAGUGGUACUUCUCUAUCAAGAUGCAGCAACAACCAACCUUCUAACUUUGUCAACGACUUUAUUGAAAGCACUUGCAGUAGAUCCUUGAUAGCUUCUUCUGACAUCCCAAGAGACUUUAAUUCUUUGGUAAUCUCGUCUAUGGGUAUCUUUUCCAUCUGUUUCCAAAUUCACACCACCCGAAGAAAAAGGGAAAAAUUAUAGGAUGAAAAAAACAGAGAAGGAAACAUCAACAAUCAGGAGGCGCAUGCACAAAUGUAUUCAUACAAGCAAUGAACAAAAGACUAAUAAAUAAGAUGGCAUAAUCCUUUUGCAAGGAAGGCAUCAUUAAACUGAAUUAAAAAUUGUCAUCCAAUGAAAGAACACAGUUCAAGGACCCCAUCACAAACUCAGAAUAAUCUGAUAAAUGUUGAACUGGAAGUGAUGCAUGUUCACAAAAAAAUAAUAAUAAUAAUAAAAUAAAUAAAUAAAUAAAAACAACUAGCUCCUUCCAACUGGACAAAAGGACAAGUAUAUAGGUAUUUGUGCACAAAGCUCACUUUGAGUAAGCUACUAAUUCAUGUCACAAACAAAUCAAUAAGUAAACGCAAACUGGGUUCAUUGAAUGAAUUUUUUGACCAGAAGAUAAUCAAAUAUUGCAUCUUAAACAAAUCAAGAAGUAAACGCAAGCUUAAUCAAGACAUACUAUAAAAACUACAAUCCGGGCUCAAUGCCUCCAAACUGUUGCAAAUAAAAAUAGCUGUGAAGCUGACAAACCCUUGUUGCCACAAAAAUGGGGAAUUGAAAUCAUCCACAAUGAAUAGUCUCAGAAAAUGAAGUAGACCAAGUCCUACAAGGCAUUGACCAACCUCACUCAUUUACUUUGCCAAACAGUGUAUAAAUUCCCCUGAUUUAAGGGCAGAAAACUUUAUAUGCUAUAAGUCUAUUGGAAAAACAUUUUGGCAAACAAAACAAUUUCCUUCCAAGAAAAGAGCGCAAAGGAAAAUCCAAAAGUGGCAUUCCUAUCAAAAAAAAAAAAAAAAAAAUCCAAAAGUGGCACAAAGAAAUCCACAACAUGUAUGUAGAUAAAAAUAAACUGGAUAGCCAUCCAGUUAUAGAGAGCAGUUCUACUACAUCCCCAAUGCCAAGAAUCUAUCUCUAAAACAUGAUAAGAAACAAGCCAUGAAAUAACACUCAUUGGCCAUACUCUACAUCAGCAAAACUUUUGAGUUUGUUAAAAGUCAACAACUGAACUUUCACUUUUUAGACUCUGAAGUUGCUAAGGAAGAAACUAUCUGUCCAUUUAUCCCCAGAUAAUUGGAGGUGAACAAUUUUAUUUAACAUUCAUGGUUGUAUUUAUCAUUCCUGAAUGAUUGAAUAUCAAUGAGUCAUUCUUGAGUAAUCCUAAGAAGGCACUUCCAUUGGCCUAAGCCUCUAUUAGGCUCCACUAUCAUAGAAUGAAAUCAAGUUGCAACACAGCAUCCAGCAUUUUGACCAAAAGCAGGAGGAUCUAGUGAUAUUUGGUACUCUAACAAAAAAAUUUCAAUUUAAAUCUGUAUCAAAUAGGAAUUUUCAAUAAGAAAUUAUGACGAAUUUUUCUCUUAGGCUAUACUUGGCUCCCCGAAAAUUUGAGGGAAAAUGCGAAAAAAGAAAAUAGAGAGGAAAAGUAAAAUGAAAAAAAAAAUUAAAGUUAAUAAAUUAUUUUUAGAUAUCACUUUUUUUUAAUAGAAACAGAAGAUACAUAUUAAUAAAAGUUGAAAAAAAAGAUGAGAGAUCCUUUCCACAAAAUAAAAGAACUGAUCAAAGUAGGACUACACUUCUCCACCAUACAAGAAGAACUAUACACAUAGGCAUACACAUCUCACUUCGAAUUCAUUUCACUUAUUUUAACUCUUCUAUAUAAAGAUUAGAUUAUUCGAAGAUACAUAAGUUUCUAAUUAAUAUUAAUUUCAUUUUAUUUUAUUUUGUACUUUCAAUAGUAAAAUGAAACAAAAGAAAGUCAUUUUCCUUAGCAUUUUUUUUUCUUUCUUUAGUAUUUUUUAAGAACAAAAGCUAGUCUUAAAGACGGAGAAAAAGAAUAACCAAAUUUUUUAGACAGUUGAACUUCCAUUAAAGAGAUAAUUUGAAAUAGAAAAUUAAAACUUUGCCCAUAGGUUCAAAUUUAGCAAUCGAAGAACUAAUACUCCUGGAAGAGGAAGUUAUACUCCUAAUAGGGAUGCACAUGGUUCACUUUAGGUCAGCUUUUAACCAACGCGAGAACAGAUCCAAGCUAAUCGGUUUUCGCUUAGGACUAAUUUAUUUAUCGACUGAAACCAACCCAAUUUAACAUUGAUUCAAUUUGACUUGGUUUGGUUUAUUCAGUUUGGGGCCAAUAUUUUUUGGAAAAAUGGCAGGCAUGGAUUUACUUAAAAACUAUAAAGGAUAAGUUGAGUAAAGAAAAUUCAUUUAAGAAAAACAAAGAGAAAGUUGGACGUAUAAUACAUUUCAAAAAGAUGCUUAGAUUAAAGUACUUGUUAAGAGAGAGAGAGAAGAAAACCUUGAUUCUCAUUCAUUGUGUCUACUUACAAUUGAGAAAAUAUAUAUAUACAAGGUUAGGAGUCCUAACUACCAUACAUGUGACCUAUAUUAAAAAGGAAAGAUUGUACACUAUAAAUUCAUUAUAUCCAACACUCCCCCUCAACCUGGAGCAUAUACGUCAUAUGCACCAAGCCUGUUACAAAUGUAUUUAAUCCUAGGACCUCUGAGAGAUUUAGUGAAGAUGUCUGCUAGUUGAUCAUUUGAAUUAACAAAACUUGUAGCAACACAUCCUGAUGCGAUCUUCUCUCUAAUGAAGUGACAGUCAACUUCAAUAUGUUUGGUCCUUUCAUGAAAGACUGGAUUGGAUGCAAUAUGUAAUGCGGCCUAGUUAUCACAGAUGAGUUUCAUCUGUUCAUCCUUUCCAAAUCUCAACUCUCGAAGAAGAUGUCUCAACCAUAUGAGUUCACAUGUUGCCAAAGUCAUAGCUCGAUACUCAGUUUCAGCACUAGAUCUGGCCACUAUAUCUUGUUUCUUACUCUUCCAAGAUAUUAGAUUACCUCCAAUAAAAACACAGCACCCUGAAGUGGAACGUCUAUCUGUGGGUGAGCCAGCCCAAUCUGCAUUUGUGUAACCAACAACCUGAGUAUGACCUCUGUUCUCGUACAACACACCUUGGUCUGGUGUACUUUUGAUAUAUCGAAGAAUGCGGAUUACGGCAUCCCAAUGGCUAUCACAUGGUGACUGUAGGAAUUGACUAACAACACUCAUAGGAAAAGAAAUAUCUGGACGAGUAAUGGUGAGAUAGUUCAAUUUACCUACGAGUCGUCGAUAUCUCCCAGGGUCUCCUAAAGGCUCCCCCUGUCCUGGUACAAGUUUGACAUUCGGAUCCAUAGGUGUGUCUAUCGGUUUACAGUCUAACAUAUCAAUUUCUUCCAGGAUGUCUAAAGCAUACUUCCUUUGGGAAAGGACCACACCGGAACUGAAUUGAGCUAUCUCAAUUCCCAAGAAAUACUUGAGUUUCCCCAAGUCUUUGGUCUGAAAGUGGGUAAAAAGAUGUUGCUUUAGUUUCUGACGACGAUUCGACCGACCGGAAAGCUUUGGGGUUUGGGGAAGGUGACCGGAAUGAAACACGGUCACAAGAAGGUUUCCUGGAAUUGAUGACACGGGGAAACUGGAAAGAAUUAGGUUUUCUCCCUUGGCUCUGAUACCAUGUUAAGAGAGAGAGAGAAGAAAACCUUGAUUCUCAUUCAUUAUGUCUACUUACAAUUGAGAAAAUAUAUAUAUAUAAGGCUAGGAGUCCUAACUACCAUACAUGUGACCUAUAUUAAAAAAGAAAAAUUGUACACUAUAAAUUCAUUAUAUUCAACAGUACUUAUUAAGAGUUAUUCCUCAUACAGAUAAAUAAAAAUUCAACAACUAACGAUUCCUUUGUUAGUUCAACAACUAAACAUUUGGUAGAAAAAACAAUUAAUUAUUUGCAUUGUGCAUUAGAGUCAAUUCAAUUCAAAUUGGUUUCAAAUAUUGAUAACCCACAAACCAAACCAAAAUUUCUAGCCAAUAAAAUUGAAAUUUUUGAAAAAAAAAAAAAAAACAACUUGAUUUAAUUUGUUUUGGUUCUUUUGAGUACACCAAUUUGCCCCUUUUUUGGCCCCACCCCUUAACUUCUACUUGGUGCAAGUUUAACAAAAUUCACUAACAGGCCUUUAUACAAAACUUACUUCUAUAUACAUUUUUUGAUAGGAAACAACAAAUAUAUAUAUUGAAAGAAUAAGAAGUACAAAAGAAGGAUGAGGAAUCCUCCCACCAAAGAUAAAACUAAACAACACAUUAAA
rnacentral:lncRNA from 1 species